AUUGAACGCUGGCGGCAUGCUUUACACAUGCAAGUCGAACGGUAACAGGCCGCAAGGUGCUGACGAGUGGCGAACGGGUGAGUAAUGCAUCGGAACGUGCCCAGUCGUGGGGGAUAACGCAGCGAAAGCUGUGCUAAUACCGCAUACGAUCUAUGGAUGAAAGCGGGGGACCGUAAGGCCUCGCGCGAUUGGAGCGGCCGAUGUCAGAUUAGGUAGUUGGUGGGGUAAAGGCUCACCAAGCCAACGAUCUGUAGCUGGUCUGAGAGGUCGACCAGCCACACGGGGACGGAGACACGGCCCAGCAUCCUACGGGAGGCAGCAGUGGGGAAUUUUGGACAAUGGGCGCAAGCCUGAUCCAGCAAUGCCGCGUGCAGGAAGAAGGCCUUCGGGUUGUAAACUGCUUUUGUACGGAACGAAAAGGUUUGGGUUAAUACCCUGGGCCGAUGACGGUACCGUAAGAAUAAGCACCGGCUAACUACGUGCCAGCCGCCGCCGUAA
rnacentral:rRNA from 1 species